rnacentral:rRNA from 1 species
UAAUGACACUAGGCGAAGGAUAUCUUGGCUCUUGCAUCGAUGAAGAACGUAGUGAAAUGCAAUACUUAAGGUGAAUUAUAGAAUCCGGUGAACCAUCAAGUCUAUGAAUGCAAGUUAUGCCUGAAGCCAUUUGGCCUAGGGCACGCCUGCCUGGGUGUCACAC